CCUACGGGAGGCAGCAGUGGGGAAUAUUGCACAAUGGGCGAAAGCCUGAUGCAGCAACGCCGCGUGAAGGAAGAAGGGUUUCGGCUCGUAAACUUCUAUCAACAGGGACGAAAGAAAUGACGGUACCUGAAUAAGAAGCCCCGGCUAACUACGUGCCCGCAGCCGCGGUAAUACGUUGGGGGCAAGCGUUAUCCGGAAUUACUGGGUGUAACGGGUAAGUAGGCGGCAUGGUAAGUUAGAUGUGAAAGCCUUGGGCUAAACCAGAGGAUUGCAUUUGGAACUAGCAGGAGAGAGUACAGGAGAGGAAAGCGGAAUUGCGAGUGUAGCGGUGAAAUGCGUAGAUAUUAGGAAGAACACCAGGGGCGAAGGCGGCUUUCUGGACUGAAACUGACGCUGAGGCACGAAAGCGUGGGGAGCGAACAGGAUUAGAUACCCUGGUAGUC
rnacentral:rRNA from 1 species